CCGAGCAGCUGGGCUGUAGGCACUUCAGGGACCACUGAUUACAGUGUGAGGCAGAGCUGCUGCUGUUAGCGGUCACUGAGGCGGCCUUAUUAACCCGGCUGCCUUGUGGAAGGUAGCCUGGGACUCACAAGGUCAAAUGGUGGACACAACAAAAGACUGUGUGUGUUUCGGUUGAGCCCUCUCGUUAUUCGGGUUAAGGCUUCAGUCAAGCAACCUUCCUUAUCAAGUGGACCUGGCACAGCUCCUACUUAUCCCUGAGUAGUGGGUAUCAGUUUCCUGCCAGUCAUGGAGUUGUUCAAAGCCCAUCACAUGCUCCUGCAAGGACCAGGGGGCACCUCACCCUCUUGUUACCACCCGCUGCCCCUGCCUGUUCACUCUGCUCCUGAGGGCAAUGCCUGUGUGGCUGGCAUCCAGUGCUGUGUCCACCUCUUCCAAGCUGCAAGUGUAUGUGAAUAAUAACUGCUGUCAAUCUCA